rnacentral:rRNA from 1 species
AUGGAGAGUUUGAUCCUGGCUCAGGACGAACGCUGGCGGCGUGCUUACACAUGCAAGUCGAACGAGAAGAGAUGAGAAGCU